rnacentral:snoRNA from 1 species
CUGUGAAAUGAUGGCAAACAUCUUUCGGGACUGACCUGAAAUAAAGAGACUAUUCAUUGCUGAUCACUG